rnacentral:rRNA from 1 species
UUUUAUGAGAGUUUGAUCCUGGCUCAGGACGAACGCUGGCGGCGUGCCUAAUACAUGCAAGUCGAACGCUUCUUUUUCCACCGGAGCUUGCUCCACCGGAAAAAAAGAGGAGUGGCGAACGGGUGAGUAACACGUGGGUAACCUGCCCAUCAGAAGGGGAUAACACUUGGAAACAGGUGCUAAUACCGUAUAACAAUCGAAACCGCAUGGUUUUGAUUUGAAAGGCGCUUUCGGGUGUCGCUGAUGGAUGGACCCGCGGUGCAUUAGCUAGUUGGUGAGGUAACGGCUCACCAAGGCCACGAUGCAUAGCCGACCUGAGAGGGUGAUCGGCCACAUUGGGACUGAGACACGGCCCAAACUCCUACGGGAGGCAGCAGUAGGGAAUCUUCGGCAAUGGACGAAAGUCUGACCGAGCAACGCCGCGUGAGUGAAGAAGGUUUUCGGAUCGUAAAACUCUGUUGUUAGAGAAGAACAAGGAUGAGAGUAACUGUUCAUCCCUUGACGGUAUCUAACCAGAAAGCCACGGCUAACUACGUGCCAGCAGCCGCGGUAAUACGUAGGUGGCAAGCGUUGUCCGGAUUUAUUGGGCGUAAAGCGAGCGCAGGCGGUUUCUUAAGUCUGAUGUGAAAGCCCCCGGCUCAACCGGGGAGGGUCAUUGGAAACUGGGAGACUUGAGUGCAGAAGAGGAGAGUGGAAUUCCAUGUGUAGCGGUGAAAUGCGUAGAUAUAUGGAGGAACACCAGUGGCGAAGGCGGCUCUCUGGUCUGUAACUGACGCUGAGGCUCGAAAGCGUGGGGAGCAAACAGGAUUAGAUACCCUGGUAGUCCACGCCGUAAACGAUGAGUGCUAAGUGUUGGAGGGUUUCCGCCCUUCAGUGCUGCAGCUAACGCAUUAAGCACUCCGCCUGGGGAGUACGACCGCAAGGUUGAAACUCAAAGGAAUUGACGGGGCCCGCACAAGCGGUGGAGCAUGUGGUUUAAUUCGAAGCAACGCGAAGAACCUUACCAGGUCUUGACAUCCUUUGACCACUCUAGAGAUAGAGCUUCCCCUUCGGGGGCAAAGUGACAGGUGGUGCAUGGUUGUCGUCAGCUCGUGUCGUGAGAUGUUGGGUUAAGUCCCGCAACGAGCGCAACCCUUAUUGUUAGUUGCCAUCAUUCAUUAGUUGGGCACUCUAGCAAGACUGCCGGUGACAAACCGGAGGAAGGUGGGGAUGACGUCAAAUCAUCAUGCCCCUUAUGACCUGGGCUACACACGUGCUACAAUGGGAAGUACAACGAGUCGCGAAGUCGCGAGGCUAAGCUAAUCUCUUAAAGCUUCUCUCAGUUCGGAUUGCAGGCUGCAACUCGCCUGCAUGAAGCCGGAAUCGCUAGUAAUCGCGGAUCAGCACGCCGCGGUGAAUACGUUCCCGGGCCUUGUACACACCGCCCGUCACACCACGAGAGUUUGUAACACCCGAAGUCGGUGAGGUAACCUUUUGGAGCCAGCCGCCUAAGGUGGGAUAGAUGAUUGGGGUGAAGUCGUAACAAGGUAGCCGUAUCGGAAGGUGCGGCUGGAUCACCUCCUUU